CAACGGAUCUCUUGGCUCUCGCAUCGAUGAAGAACGCAGCGAAAUGCGAUAAGUAAUGUGAAUUGCAGAAUUCAGUGAAUCAUCGAAUCUUUGAACGCACCUUGCGCUCCUUGGUAUUCCGAGGAGCAUGCCUGUUUGAGUGUCA
rnacentral:rRNA from 1 species